GACGCACGCUGGCGGCGUGCCUAAUACAUGCAAGUAGAACGCAGUUGCGAAAGGGUGAGUCACGCGUAUGUAAUUGCCUCAUAGCGGGGGAUCACUAUUGGAAACGAUAGCUAAUACCGAAUACUGUGAGAUGGACCUGCGUGUUAUUAGCUAGUUGGGGGGGUAAAGGCUAACCAAGGCGACGAUACAUAGCCGUCCUGAGCGGGUGAUCGGCCACACUUGGACGUGGACACGGCCCAGACCCCUACGGGAGGCAGUAGUAGGGAAGCUUCGGCAAUGGAGGGAAGUCUGACCGAGCACGGCCGCGGGAGUGAAGAAGGUUUGCGGAUCGGAAAGCUCUGUUGUGAGAGAAGCGGUAACUAACCAGAAAGGGAAGGCUAACUACGUGCCAGCCGCGGCGGUAAUAC
rnacentral:rRNA from 1 species